rnacentral:lncRNA from 1 species
CUAACAGAAGUAUUGGACAAGAUUGCUUACACCGUUACCCUCAUUAGUGUCAGAGCUCAACUUGAUUUAUGCCGCAUGGUCAGCAAUUUGGAAGGGCGAAAGAGUUAGAAGGAUAGACCAAACACUGAGUCGGCCAAUUGAAUAGGGAUGGCAAUGGGUAGGGUUUGGGUCGGAUAGUAUACUACCCAUCCCCAAACCCGAACUUAAUACCCUAUACCCAAACCCUACCCGAUACCCAAUCGGGUAAGAAAAGAGAUACCCAUCCCCAUACCCAACGGGUUCGGAGAUAUCCGUGGGUAACCCAGUUUCCCAUACCCAAUCCAUACCCGCCCCAUACCCAACCUAUACCCAUCCAUUCUAUACCAAAAAAAAAGUAAAAUAAUUUUAUGCAUAUUAUCAAUCAAAA